rnacentral:rRNA from 1 species
GAUGAACGCUGGCGGCGUGCUUAACACAUGCAAGUCGAACGGAAAGGCCCAAGCUUGCUUGGGUACUCGAGUGGCGAACGGGUGAGUAACACGUGGGUGAUCUGCCCUGCACUUCGGGAUAAGCCUGGGAAACUGGGUCUAAUACCGGAUAGGACCACUUCUUGGAUGUUGUGGUGGAAAGUUUUUUCGGUGUGGGAUGAGCUCGCGGCCUAUCAGCUUGUUGGUGGGGUAAUGGCCUACCAAGGCGUCGACGGGUAGCCGGCCUGGGAGGGUGUACGGCCACAUUGGGACUGAGAUACGGCCCAGACUCCUACGGGAGGCAGCAGUGGGGAAUAUUGCACAAUGGGCGCAAGCCUGAUGCAGCGACGCCGCGUGGGGGAUGACGGCCUUCGGGUUGUAAACUCCUUUCGCUAGGGACGAAGCGUUUUUGUGACGGUACCUGGAGAAGAAGCACCGGCUAACUACGUG